AAACUACUCCUUCCGUUCCGAAUUACUUGUCUUAGAUUUGUCUAGAUACGAAGGUAUCUAGCACUAAAAUGAGUCUAGAUACGGACGUAUCUAGCACUAAAAUGAGUCUAGAUACAUCCGUAUCUAGACAAAUCCAAGACAAGUAAUUUGGAACGGAGGGAGUACGAA
rfam:Triticum aestivum genome assembly, contig: Triticum_aestivum_CS42_TGACv1_scaffold_570292_7AS